UUAGGGUUAAAUAUAUGUGACUUUUCAGAUUCCUUCUCAAAGAGAAUUCAUCUUUCCCCCUCCUUCUCCGUCGCUUGCGAUUUUUCCUCUCCGAUAAAACAAACCUGGCGCAGUUGUAAACACAUCCUUCCUCUGUUCAUCCCACUCUCCUUUUCCUCCACCGAGUUUGGUUCAUCACUUACUCAUAUCAGUUUCAACCUAAUCCUUUGUUCGAUUUCAUCUCCGUUUCAACCUAAUCCUCCAUUCGAUUUCAUCUACUCAACUGUGUUGUCUUCUUCAAUUUGGAUCGUUCUCCUGUUCGUCUUUCUCAUCUCAGCACACAAAAACAGAAUGCUAACGCAGAAACAGAAAGCUAACACACGGGGAAACAACAACGAUAUGAAGAAUUUGAAGCAACGAGACUGA